rnacentral:rRNA from 1 species
CAGUCGCCGCGGGAACACAGAGGGUGCGAGCGUUAAUCGGAUUUACUGGGCGUAAAGCGUGCGUAGGCGGCUUUUUAAGUCGGAUGUGAAAUCCCUGAGCUUAACUUAGGAAUUGCAUUCGAUACUGGGAAGCUAGAGUAUGGGAGAGGAUGGUAGAAUUCCAGGUGUAGCGGUGAAAUGCGUAGAGAUCUGGAGGAAUACCGAUGGCGAAGGCAGCCAUCUGGCCUAAUACUGACGCUGAGGUACGAAAGCAUGGGGAGCAAACAGGAUUAGAGACCCCGGUAGUCCCUGUCUCUUAUAC